rnacentral:rRNA from 1 species
GAUGAACGCUGGCGGCGUGCCUUACACAUGCAAGUCGAACGGUAACAGGUUAAGCUGACGAGUGGCGAACGGGUGAGUAAUGUAUCGGAACGUGCCCAGUCGUGGGGGAUAACUGCUCGAAAGAGCAGCUAAUACCGCAUACGACCUGAUGGUGAAAGCGGGGGAUCGCAAGACCUCGCGCGAUUGGAGCGGCCGAUAUCAGAUUAGGUAGUUGGUGGGGUAAAGGCCUACCAAGCCUACGAUCUGUAGCUGGUCUGAGAGAACGACCAGCCACACUGAGACUGAGAACAGGCCCAGACUCCUACGGGAGGCAGCAGUGGGGAAUUUUGGACAAUGGACGAAAUUCUGAUCCAGCCAUGAGGCGUGCGGGAAGAAGGCCUUCGGGUUGUAAACCGCUUUUGUCAGGGAAGAAAAGGGUGUGUAUAAUAAAGACGCCUCAUGACGGUUCCUGAAGAAUAAGCACCGGCUAACUACGUGCCAGCAGCCGCCGUAACAC